GGCAGCGCGGGAGCAAUCCUGGCGGCGAGUGGCGAACGGGUGAGAAAUACAUCGGAACGUGCCCAAUCGUGGGGGAUAACGCAGCGAAAGCUGUGCUAAUACCGCAUACGAUCUACGGAUGAAAGCAGGGGAUCGCAAGACCUUGCGCGAAUGGAGCGGCCGAUGGCAGAUUAGGUAGUUGGUGAGGUAAAGGCUCACCAAGCCUUCGAUCUGUAGCUGGUCUGAGAGGACGACCAGCCACACUGGGACUGAGACACGGCCCAGACUCCUACGGGAGGCAGCAGUGGGGAAUUUUGGACAAUGGGCGCAAGCCUGAUCCAGCCAUGCCGCGUGCAGGAUGAAGGCCUUCGGGUUGUAAACUGCUUUUGUACGGAACGAAACGGCCUUUUCUAAUAAAGAGGGCUAAUGACGGUACCGUAAGAAUAAGCACCGGCUAACUACGUGCCAGCAGCCGCGGUAAUACGUAGGGUGCAAGCGUUAAUCGGAAUUACUGGGCGUAAAGCGUGCGCAGGCGGUGAUGUAAGACAGUUGUGAAAUCCCCGGGCUCAACCUGGGAACUGCAUCUGUGACUGCAUCGCUGGAGUACGGCAGAGGGGGAUGGAAUUCCGCGUGUAGCAGUGAAAUGCGUAGAUAUGCGGAGGAACACCGAUGGCGAAGGCAAUCCCCCUGGGCCCUGUACUGACGCUCAUGCACGAAAGCGUGGGGAGCAAA
rnacentral:rRNA from 1 species